rnacentral:rRNA from 1 species
ACGUAGGGGGCAUGCGUUGUCCGGAAUUAUUAGGCGUAAAGCGCGCGCAGGCGGUCUUUUAAGUCUGAUGUGAAAUCUCGCGGCUCAACCGCGAGCGGUCAUUGGAAACUGGAGGACUUGAGUGCAGAAGAGGAGAGUGGAAUUCCACGCGUAGCGGUGAAAUGCGUAGAGAUGUGGAGGAACACCAGUGGCGAAGGCGACUCUCUGGUCUGUAACUGACGCUGAGGUGCGAAAGCGUGGGGAUCAAACAGGA